rnacentral:rRNA from 2 species
AAAACGACUCUCGGCAACGGAUAUCUCGGCUCUCGCAUCGAUGAAGAACGUAGCGAAGUGCGAUACUUGGUGUGAAUUGCAGAAUCCCGUGAACCAUCGAGUCUUUGAACGCAAGUUGCGCCCUAAGCCUUCUGGCCGAGGGCACGUCUGCCUGGGUGUCACAAA